CUUCUUUCCACAUCAACGGUUUUGUGUUCUCCUCCUCUCCCUGGCUUCGGUUAGUGGCAGGGGUGGAUUACAAUUCGCUGGCCAUGGAAAUCGACAUUCUACCUUUAUAGGUUUAAAGAAUGCUCUUGAGAUAAAUCCACAGCGACAAUUCCGAGAGAAAGUUAGAAGUCUUGAGAUCGGUGGUUCGCUUCACGGUGGACCACCUGAUUUCGGCGGAUAAGCGAGCUAUAUUCCACUUCGCUGCUGAUCGGAGAAUUUCUUCAUGAUGUUUGCGAUAAACCAUAGUUUGAACAUUU
rnacentral:sRNA from 1 species